rnacentral:rRNA from 1 species
GAUCCUCUCAGGAUGAACGCUAGCGACAGGCCUAACACAUGCAAGUCGAGGGGCAGCGGAGAGGUAGCAAUACCUUUGCCGGCGACCGGCGCACGGGUGAGUAACACGUAUGCAAUCCACCUGUAACAGGGGGAUAACCCGGAGAAAUCCGGACUAAUACCCCAUAAUAUGGGCUCUCCGCAUGGAGGGUCCAUUAAAGAGAGCAAUUUUGGUUACAGACGAGCAUGCGCUCCAUUAG